rnacentral:tRNA from 1 species
CGGGGUGUAGCUCAGUCUGGUCAGAGCGCUGCGUUCGGGACGCAGAGGUCGCUGGUUCAAAUCCAGACACCCCGA